CAGCGUCCAGAUCCAGCCGGCUCUCCCGUCCGUGCAUUGAGAAGUCAAAGGAAGACUCCCAGCAUGCUCCACCAGACACAGCUCGACCUUGUCCCCAAGAAGGCCGACUGACAGUCUUGUAUAGUAGAGAGGGACGAAACCAAGAAUAGUCUCUUCCUAGCUCCUGCGCGCAUCGGCCAUGGUUCAAGGCUUCAAUCUAGAUCUGUCGGAACUGAAUGGUGAUCAUCGUGUUGCAUCCAUUAUAUAGCUGGAGUGUCGAUCGGAUUGCGAGAGAGUUAUGGGGGCGGUGGCCGCUUCCGAGCAGAGGGCGAAGAAAACGAUGAAGGAAGCAUUAGAGGAGAUAGAGCCGCUCCCCUGGAGGAUGUCCGAACUGCUGCAGUACCAUAGCGGGCGGCGCCUCAGUGCUGCCGAUGACCGAAUAUUACAGAUUUUCCGGCUCGUUGUGGUCGAGCUGAGAGACAUCGCAGCAUCACUGGACCAGCUUCUGCCACUGCUGGAUCUCAGACCGUACCAUGUCGAGAACUAUGAGCUGUGGCUGCUCAAGUUGAGGAAUCUGGCUCGAUAUAUCGGGAACCACCUCGAUAAGUACGAGCGUUUCAUCACAAGAAAAGAACAGGAAACGUAUGUGCGAACUGCCUGCUUCCGUUGUGAUUCAGAGUUCCGGUUACCGCAUCCGGAUGUAACGCGACUCAUCGAGGAAGAGCUUUCCUGGAUCAACGGACAACCUUACAGGUACGAGCAUCUUAUGUUGGCCGGAGAUGACGAUAGUAUCCCCUUAAGUGGGAUGCCGCAGCUGCAACCCUACGCGACGGAGGCCGGGACCGUUGCACGCGGGGACCUUCUUGUUGGCAUCGAGAGCACCAGAAAGAAGCUGCUCAGGUGGUUCACGCCCGCCCAGGAAGACAACAUGGCUCUCAGUAUCGUGUCCAUGGUUGGACCCGCUGGGGUGGGGAAAACGGCUCUUGCCAAUGAGCUCUACCGACACCUCCAACAAAUCGGAGGUGAUGGACCCUACUUCGAGUGCUACGCUUUGGCCAAUGUGUCCCCGAGGCCUUGCAUCAAGGUGCUUCUGAGACACAUUCUCUGCCAGAUCGACAAACAAGCAGCUAUAGCACCAGCGUCGAUAUCCACGGGGACAUCCGAAAUCACCAUGUCAGAAGACGGCGAGGACCAGGAUGAGCAGGAGCUGGUUCGCAACAUUGAUCAGUACCUUCAAGACCGCAGGUACCUCAUCGUAAUUGACGAUCUUUGGAAAGAAUCCGAUUGGGAUAUCAUCAGCAGUGCUUUGCCACGUAAUAACAGAGGAAGUCGGAUAAUAGUAACUACACGAAUCAGGAGCGUGGCUUGGUACACAUGUUGUUCCAAUGGUCUGAUGCAUGAGGUUAAGCCUCUUAACGAGCUAGAUUCACAAAUGCUUCUGUUGCAAAGUGUUUUCGGCUCCAAGAACUAUUUGUGGCCAGACAAUUUGAAGCAAUCUCGUGAUGAAAUUUUGAGACGCUGUCAAGGUAUACCAUUCUUCAUAUCUGGUAUGGCUGACUGGUUGAGAGAACAAGAGGUCCAGAAAUUCUAUAGCAACGGUAGCCUGGACUGCCUGGUAGAAGAAGUUCCCCAAUUUCCCAGACUGCUCAAGCAAUUCGAACAAACAUUGUAUCCUACUUAUGAUGAUCUUCCAUACUGGUCGAAAGUAUUGCUGCUAUACAUGAGCAUGUUUCCUGAGGGUUAUAUGUUUAACAAGGAUAGUCUCAUUCGGAAAUGGAUCGCCAAAGGGCUGAGUGGUUCGUAUGAAGAAGCAGAGGCGUGUUUCUCCAUGCUUAUCGACAGGAACGUCGUCACGCGAGCAAUAAACAUUUGGGAGCCCACCACUCAAGUGGAGGAAAAUUGCCGUUGGCAAGUAAAUUAUUUCAUGCUGCAGUUCCUGGCUUACAGAUUGGAUGACAAGGGCUUUGCUUGUGCCAGCGGCAUGCGCUGCGCUUCUCCAGAAGCAAUGGGAAACAAGAAACUGCGGUGGUUGUCUGUAAACCAGCCUGACCGGGAGCUCGAAAUGCUUCUGAGUAGAAGAAGCAACCUUUCUCACUUCCACAACGCUCGUUCGUUAUCUAUAUCUGGUGCGGUGGACGACCUACUAUUCCCUCUUGAUAAGUUUAUCUAUCUGGUGGUGUUGGACCUUGAAGGUUGGCAGUGCUUCAAGGACGAAGACAUGUUGUUGAUAUGCAGCAGCAGGAUGCUCCUUCUCCGUUAUCUGAGCGUGAAGAAUACAAGAGUCCGCAAGCUCCCUGCCAAGAUCAAGGAGCUGCGCAGUUUGGAAACGUUGGACAUGAGCCACACAGAGGUCAGUGAGCUCCCAUCAGAAGCGUGCGAGCUGUCACGGUUGGAGAUGCUGGACCUAAGGAGCACGCCAGUCAGGCAGCUGCCGGAACAAAUCCGGAAGAUGCGGUCGAUGAGGCAUCUGCUCAUUGGCGAUUAUGGAGAUGGCCGCAACGGUGGAACGACAAUUCCCGAUGGGAUUGGGUGUCUCUUGGAUCUUCGUACUCUAGCAACCGUUCAUCUAAGCGUAUGCUCCGCAAGACUCGUAGAGGCGCUUGGUGGAAUGGAGAAACUAACAGAGUUGGCCAUAACAUGGUCUUUUCACCAGUGCUCCAACAGAAGAUACCAAGAAGCUCUGCACUGUUCCUUCCAAAAAUGGCGGGGGCUCAAGUCUCUGUCGAUCCAUGGCGGACAAGGUUCUUGCGUUGAGUUCCUAGAUUCUCUGCCUGAUCAAGGUCGGUCCAAUGAUCUUGAGAAAUUCAAGGUGACGGGUGGUGGAAGGUUCGUCAGGCUUCCACAAUGGUUCCAGGGGCUCGAUUGCCUUGCUUUUGUGGAGAUCACGGUUUUGAGGCUAGUGACAGAAGAUCUGAGUAUCCUAACGAACUUGCCGAGCUUGGAGCACCUUUCGCUCGGUCUGGACUUCCUCCCAGAGGAAGCAAUAGUGAUUGGCAGGGCUGGGUUCCGCAAGCUUGAGAGGUUGUGCAUUGGCUGCCGAUUCCCAUGGCUCACUUUCAGCCAAGGUGCCAUGCAGAGGUUAAGAUAUCUCGAGAUGAAGAUUGGCGGACACCCAGUGAGUCGAUCAGGCAGCGUUCUUGCGGGUAUCAACAACCUCUGCUCCGUGUCGGAGGUGUCCAUCCAUUACAACGUACGCUACAGCAACAACCGUGGUGUCAUCUUGACGAUUGAGACGGUGAGGAAGGAAGUAGCUGAGCAUCUGAACCCGAUCAGCGUAUUUGUCAACGGCAUACAAGAUCAAGAUGAGAAUUUUGAGGCAGUUGCAGGGAUCAGUGGCGAUGGGGGUGUUGAAGGGUUGCAUUAGGUCUCUACAUUUGCCGGCAUGGCCUGGUCAUUACCAGAAAUGACAGGUGUUUAACCGUGAAGUUUCCUCUUCUGUGAGUAUAGACCGGUGGCUGUGGUGCUUCAGUGGAAAGCCCUCCUACCAGCAAAGCGACGGGAAGCGGUCUCUAAGAUCUAAUUCAUCUUGCUGGUUGACCGAGCGGUUCGGAGUGGUGAGAUUGAUGUUCUUCGCUGUGGACUGUACGAGUCAUUUACCUGGAGCUUUUGUAAUGGCGCAGUCCCGCCUCUUCUAUGUUUUUGCUGUUACGAUGGUACAAAGGCCUAGGUCAGCUCUUCGUAUUCAGAAAAUAUCCUUCUAGUUAUCCGUUGCUUAUGUACACAAGCAGGUCAAUGCCCUGGCAAGGACAUCCUUUCUGUUUCUAGCAUGAUUUCCUUCACGCUUCUUUCUGUAAAAGAAAGAAAAUAACUCCAUGCCCGUCCGUAGCCAGAUUUCGUGGCAGUACUUGGUUGGCUUUCCAUAAACAGCUGGGAUGUAAGAGCAUCUAUAGCCACAUAGCUAAACCGGCGGACGCGACUGGCCGCGUCCGGCGAACAGAAGACAC
rnacentral:rRNA from 1 species